rnacentral:rRNA from 1 species
UACGAGCGGUCCAAACGUUAUUCGGAAUUACUGGGCUUACAGAGUUCGUAGGCGGCUCUACAAGUGAGGUGUGAAAGCCCUCGGCUCAACCGAGGAAUUGCGCUCUAAACUGUCGUGCUCGAGGAACCUAGAGGUGAGCAGAACUGAUGGUGGAGCGGUGAAAUGCGUUGAUAUCUGGAGGAACACCGGUGGCGAAGGCGGCAUCCUGGACCGGUAUUGACGCUGAUGCGCGAAAGCCAGGGGAGCAAACGGG